rnacentral:tRNA from 2 species
GAGGUUUAGCUCAGUUGGGAGAGCAUCUGCCUUACAAGCAGAGGGUCAGGGGUUCAAGUCCCUUAACCUCC